CAGCGGCAGGAUAUCCAAGCCCGCCGGUCCGCAAACGCCCAACGCCAAGUCAGCUCCGGGCCUCCUCACCCCAAACAAGGGACUGUGGAUCCCUAGUCCUUACAUUUUUGACCAGGAGGAAUGUGAUCUGAGGUUGCCUGCUAAUGGGAGGAGGAGACUGACCCGCGAGGUGCCCGCGGCUGAACCCUUUUGAAUUCUUCGAUCUGGUCAUACCAAGGACCCUGGGAUCAAGCCAGAGGAAAUAGUAGCUACCGGGGAAGUUCCUCUUAUGGUGGUGGCAGGAGUGCAAGCAAACCCAGGGUUGUUACUGGGUCUUGGUCAGAGGCACCGCUCAGUGGGACAUCAGUCACUACAAGAUCUUAACUACUUAUGAAUC